UGAGGAAUAUUGCACAAUGGGCGCAAGCCUGAUGCAGCAACGCCGCGUGCGGGACGAAGGCCUUCGGGUCGUAAACCGCUUUUCUGGGGAAAGAGCAAGGACGGUACCUCAGGAAUAAGUCUCGGCUAACUACGUGCCAGCAGCCGCGGUAAAACGUAGGAGGCGAGCGUUAUCCGGAUUUACUGGGCGUAAAGCGCACGCAGGCGGCUCUGUGAGUCGGACGUGAAAGCUCCCGGCUUAACCGGGAGAGGCCGUUCGAUACUGCGGAGCUUGAGGUAGGGAGAGGAAUGCGGAAUUCCCGGUGUAGUGGUGGAAUGCGUAGAUAUCGGGAGGAACACCUGUGGCGAAAGCGGCAUUCUGGCCCUCACCUGACGCUGAGACGCGAAAGCUAGGGUAGCAAACGG
rnacentral:rRNA from 1 species